rnacentral:tRNA from 1 species
GGAAGUGGAAAGCUCACUGGUGGGGCUCCGGACUUAAAAUCCGGUGUACCGGGCUAGAACCUAGGUAUGUGGGUUCGAUUCCCAUGCACUUCCGCCA